rnacentral:rRNA from 1 species
CGGAAGGAUCAUUAAUGAAUACAGAUGCCUGUCGAGCUUGCUCACGGGCUUUCUAUCAUAUCCAUAACACCUGUGCACUUGUUGGAUGUCUAGAGACGUAAAGUCGACAGUCAUCCACUUACACUAAACAAUAAUGUAACAAAUGUAGUCUUAUUAUAACAAAAUAAAACUUUCAACAACGGAUCUCUUGGCUCUCGCAUCGAUGAAGAACGCAGCGAAAUGCGAUAAGUAAUGUGAAUUGCAGAAUUCAGUGAAUCAUCGAAUCUUUGAACGCACCUUGCGCUCCUUGGUAUUCCGAGGAGCAUGCCUGUUUGAGUGUCAUGAAAACCCUCAACCUUAGAUUGGUUAUUUGACCUUUCUUUGGCUUGGAUUUGGACGUUUGCCGAUGUCAAGUCGGCUCGUCUUAAAAGUAAUAGCUGGAUCUGUCUCGCGACAUGGUUUGACUUGGCGUAAUAAGUAUUUCGCUAAGGACAUCUUCGGAUGGCCCUGUUGCAGGACUAAAGACCGCUUUCUAAUCCAUUGAUCUUCGGAUUAAUAUUCAUAACAUCUGGCCUCAAAUCAGGUAGGACUACCCGCUGAACUUAAGCAUAUC